rnacentral:rRNA from 1 species
CCCCUAGAUGUUCUGGGCCGCACGCGCGCUACACUGAACAGUUCAACAAGUCUUAACCUUGGCCGAUAGGUCUGGGUAAUCUUUGAACGCUGUUCGUGAUUGGGAUAGACCUUUGCAAUUAUGGGUCUUCAACGAGGAAUUCCUAGUAAACGCAAGUCAUCAGCUUGCAUUGAUUACGUCCCUGCCCUUUGUACACACCGCCCGUCGCACCUACCGAUUGAAUGGUCCGGUGAAAUCUCCGGAGUGGCGCGAGUCUGAGCAAUUGGACAAGUGCUGUGAAGUUGAUUAAACCUUAUCAUUUAGAGGAAGGUGAAGUCGUAACA